CAGAGGCCAAGCAGGGCUGAGCCUCGCCCACACGCUGCGACUGUCAGAGACUCACACCUCCAAGAAAUGUAAAGAAUGGUGGUGAAAUCCGUCUUCCAAUCGACCCUACCAAGGCUCAUAUAUUGCCGAAAGAGCCAAGGAAUGUUCUUAGGGAAAAAUAUUAUGGGUCCCUGUGACCUCUUCUUCAACAGCAGUGGCCGGAAGAACAACAGCUGCUGUUCAUAAACCUUGCUUUACACCUCCUGUCAACCAUUGGAAUUUGUCGCUGCUUUGUUUUGAGAUGCUUGAGAGGGCACACCAUGUUUAAAAAGAUUAUAUAAAUGGAACCCCACCAACAGAAAGGACAUUCUUGAAUUGCUACACCAUGCGACACUUCACUGGUCUUUGCUGGUCUUCACUUCAUGGAGAGAGGCACACCAAAGAACUUCUUGUGGUAUUCCAGUUGAUUCUGGCUGCUUCUGAUGACUUAGACUGAUUUGGCAGAGCCUUGUCAUUUCUGCUGGGUCGAGCCACCACUACUGAUUCAUAUUGGUAGUUUACUAUUGAACUGGACGGCUGGCAUCCUGACAAUGAAAAAUGGAAUUGC